rnacentral:tRNA from 5 species
GCCGGUUUAGCUCAGCUGGUAGAGCAGCGGUUUUGUAAACCGAAGGUCGCGGGUUCGAUCCCUGCAACCGGCACCG